CUACGCUGCUGUGUUUCAUGAUUCCAGCCGGAACUUUGUCUUCUCUUUGCCGACUUAAAAUUAUAUAUCUCCAACUGUUGUGCUUUCAUGUCUUCUCCGACUCGGUCAAGGGCGGGCGUCAUCGCUGGACUCCAUUAGCCAACUCAGAAGUUCGAAAGAAGGAAAGGAAGAAUAUUCUUCUGGCUUGACUCAGCUGUGUCUUUCAUCAGGCGAAAAUCGGAGGAAACAAAAGGAUGCUCAGGACGUAUGGUAACUCCGGGGCUCUCUAGGAUUUCUGAGGCGGCAAUGGGAAUUUUCCACCCUUCGAGGGAAACUUAAAGACAAAUUUGUAGUUCAUACUCUGUUUUCCACCCCAGAGAAUGUUGACAUGAACGUUUUUGAUCCCUUGCAAAUUUUUAAAGAAACUGCGAUUUGAAUUUGUGUGGAAGAUUAAAUUUUUGUCACUCUGACAUGGAACACUAUCAUCCCAAUUAAUUUGAAGGUGGAAGGAAGUUGAUGUACUGGAAAACGUACACUGACAGAAAGUGUGUAAUCAGCGGCCUCCCGUAGCCGGGCCCUCUCCUCCCCAUACCAGCCGAGGCCCCUCUUGCGCUUACUGUGCUUUUGCUAGUCUGGGCCACGUCUUUUUGGCCACCUCCUGGGCCCUCCUGGCAGAUCUUGGGACCCAAUUUGCCCUUCACAGCACCUUUGUGUCUUCAGAAACCUGAUAAGGGCUAGGUCACUGAUUUUCUUCUCUGACCGUUUAGCUUACUUGACUCGGGUUUGUCUCAAGCCAGACAGAAAGUCGAUUUCUCAGAGAAAGGAGUUGGUCUCCAGAACUUCUGACUGCACCCAAGGCUGGGAACUGAUUGCUGUGCUUGCCUGUGACCACCCAGCUCAAGACAACCGACCUGCCACCCUGCUGUGUCUACUGAGACAACAGACCUUCUACCUGCUGUGUCCAUCGCUGUGCCUGCAGUCUCAUGACUAUUAUAAAAGUGACAUUUCAAUCACAUGUGAAACAUGCUCUUUGAGGGUAUAUAACCACUCUGUACACCCCACUUCUUUGGUGCCCUUCCUUCCUUGGGGAAGGAAGGCCUCUGGCUAAGCUAGUCCUCA
rnacentral:lncRNA from 1 species